AUGUGCUUGGCGCAAUGCAGAAUGCAUCUGCUGCUUAUUGUCUUCUCCUCUUUGAACGGACAAUGGCGUGUUCUUACAAACGACCAAUGGAGUUCUCGGGCUACACUUGCUUCCUUUGAAAACUCUGAGCCUGGGCUUUCGGAUCGACAGUUCGUCCACGGAUGUUUCUGCUGGCAAUUGCAUUUCCUGGACAAGUUGCUUCUGCUCGACACGCACACCAUGGAGUUCUCUGAUGUCGACCUCCCGCCUGACCAUCGAGGGAUGGGUCGAUCUGUCAUUGUCGAGGCAUCGGAGGGAAAGCUUGGCAUGCUCACUAAAUGGUAUGAUCAGGACACUGAAAAUGACCCACUCUGGCUCACGUAUUCUGUUCUACGAAAUAAUCAAUGGCACUGGGAGAAGGACAUCCCGAUGCCGGUAAAGCGUGCAAUUCUGGUUGGUGUAGCUGGGGGAUACUUGCUUUUACACGUGUUGUACACCACGCCUUCACAAGAGGAUCUGAAGUUUGGAUACUUCUCGGUGGACUUGAAGACAUUGCAAGUCGAGUUGUUCGCUAGGCUUAGCAAAGCGAUCUCAGCUGGUCAUCUAUAUGCUGGUUUCCCACCAUCCCUGUCUCCACCAACUAUCUGA
rnacentral:rRNA from 1 species